rnacentral:rRNA from 1 species
AAAGGGUGCGUAGGCGGUUUAUUAAGUCAGUGGUGAAAGACGGUCGCUCAACGAUUGCAGUGCCAUUGAUACUGGUAGACUUGAGUAUGAUUGAGGUAGCUGGAAUGGAUAGUGUAGCGGUGAAAUGCAUAGAUAUUAUCCAGAACACCAAUUGCGUAGGCAAGUUACUAAGUCAUAACUGACGCUGAUGCACGAAAGUGUGGGUAUCAAACAGGAUUAGAUACCCGUGU